GUUUUGUUCUGUCUGUUAAACAUCUUUGCCAGGCUCCAUAGAGACAUACUGUGAGAAGAAGAAAAGGAAAGUUAAUUCUGUCCAUUGCACAGAGUCACUUUGAAAAUGUACUGCCAGCACCUUGCGACAGAUAUAUUUUUUCCUCUGGUUAGAGAUUUCCUCAAGUGAUGCUUCUAGAUGGUGUAUGCUGUUGUGGGACUUUUGGCAAUCCUUACGUAACUGAAAAUGUCUGUCUCUUGCUGUCACACCAGGGUAGUUUGGCUAUAGGAUCGUAGAGUCACAUUCAGGUAGGUGACCCAAAGAAUACAUAUGGGGAAAAAUAAGAAAACAAUGUGGCCUUGCUCAUUAAGCGUCUGUGCUUUCAUCUCAAAAAUAACAUGCAUGACAGCAAUUCCAACCCAAGAUAAACAUUAUCCAGAAGUUGAUGUGUGUGGCGGACACUGGGAUACCCAAUCCAGAUGCAAUGCCCCAUUCUGAUCACCCCUCAGAUCUCAUCUGGGACUAUCACUGUCUGGAUGUUCCAGAUAGAAAAAUGUAAGUGCAGAUAAUUACCUUCUUUGUCCAAACAAGAAAUUUGGGACACCACGUGUUAGCCACAAGCUC